rnacentral:lncRNA from 1 species
CUCGAUGGGCAGCGGCAAUUUGAUAAAUCUCCGUGUAAGAGUGCGUCUCAGCAGGCGGGGCUCCAAGCUGAACUACAGCGUGCAAACAGCCAGGAAAAGAGCAGAGAGAGCCGAAUAACCCCACGAGGUCCCUUUCGUGGAUGGGCUAGCUACUCACUUCUCAGCCGAGGCACGAGGCAGCGAGACAGAGCUCCUUCAUCUUUUAUUCUGAUUGAUCCGGGUUCAUCUUCCCCAGUAACACUAAAGCAAUCUGGAGAGGAAACCAGAGUUUUGUCCAGCCUCCUUUACUAUUUGUGUCACAAGGGAUGCCGGGCAAGGCCAAUGCGCGUCCCUCUCCAGGUGAAGCAGUGCAGUGCUGGACAGGCUCUCGGCUGUCUCGGUGUCCUUGUGCCCUUAUUGCCAGUCCCCACCAGCCCAGGGCUGCUCCACUUCCUCUGCCAGCGUCCCAGGAGGGAGGAUGAAAAUAUCCGGGGAUGCCCAGGGGACGACGAGUUGCCGGUGAGUGACAGACCUGUGCCAUUCUCUAUAACAUCUGCGAUUUCACCUGCUUCUUUCCUUAAACCAUUAUUGAACACGCUCGUGCAAAAUCCUGUGCUGUUUCCCAGUUAACCCAUUAUGAUUUCUCCUCCAUCGUUCCCAGCAUCAUUUCCCCGUGAGCUCUGUGUGCCUUAAAUCCAGGCUGAGCUUGCAGGGGCUGCCCAGCGCCUGGCUGGGGCUCGCUUCAGCCAUACCAGCAGCAUCCCAGGAAACCCUUUUAGUUUCAGGGUGUGCCCUUUGGAUCUUAAAAGGCUGAAGUGAAAGCUGGCAGCUUGUGAGAAGCACAAUGCCACGGAGGUGGAAACGCUUGGAGAGAUGCUCACGAUCUGGCCUGGAUCAGGAGCGAGACCAGAGGCUCAAACCCAAAUGUUGAUGGGAAUGGGGCUGGGCCCUGCUGAGUGGUUCAUAAGGCUUGGGGAAAGCUCCACUUUCCUAGAAGUUGGGAAAAACAAAGGAAAUGCUUAGUUCUGUGUCCUGACUUGGAUUUUUAGCUGCCAUGAAGUCCUUGUGCCCGUUGCAGUGGUGCUUUCCCCGGUGCCCUCCCAGCCUUGGCGCUUCUUGCCUCCCACCAGCCAAAAUCUGGGUGCUGCAGGGAAAGGAUGGGAAGAGGUUUACUGAGCACUGAAUAGCAAAAUCAAAGGAAUUAAUUACUCUUUAUAAAUAAACAGAAAAUAUUUAUGAUGGCUUGCA